AUCAAUCACCUAGAUGGCAGAUUGAUUACCCUAAAGCAAAGGCAUACACCCCAAGGAUGAGAUAAGGAGUUGAGCCAAAGGGAUGAUAUAAGAAACAGCUGUGGAUCCUCCCCGUUACAACUCAGAAUAAUGCUAAUUAAGAACAACCUCGAAUACCUCCCGAUUGACAGCUCCGGUGUGACACAGCAAGGUCCAUAGACUUGUAUGGGAACUUAUCACUAUAAAAGCCAUGGGACUUUGGGUUCAUUCUGUAUCAACAUCGAGCUUCAAACGCGUUUCACAAAGGCUCAGCUCCCCUCCCUUCUGUGCAGUUUCAGCUGGCCACUGGAACUGACCGAGCAACACUAAGGACUGCACUGUAUGAAGAUGAAGUUCUUAUGGUGAAAUCUUAGCAUAAAACACAGUUUGGAGGUUCAACUGAGAAGUCAGGAUUCUGUGAUCUCGGUACUCACUGAUCAUACUUUGGGCAUGGUGACAAUCAUAUCCUUUCUACUUUGAUAGCUGCAAUUGGUGUUGUUUGAAUUAUGCAUAAGUGAAUACAAGUUUUUUUUUAAAACCCUGACCACUUCAUGAAUCACUCAAAGUACUCUACUAUGAGUGAAGAAAGUACUUAUUACCUUAAGACCAAAUUUUUAUCUGUGACAAAAUACAGCAGUUUGCUGUUUUACCACUAUGGGCAUCUCCAGAGUAACUAAAGAGAACAAUACAUUUGGUAUAAAGUAGAACAAAGAUUUCCAUGUACCUUACUCUAAAGAUGGCAAAGGAUUUAUUUAGGUCAGGCAUUUUAAAUAUGAAAUCAACAUAAGGAGCCAUAUAAGUAAAGUUAUCCACAUUAAGACCAGUAUUUUCAAGCUUAAUUUCAUAUCAACACACUUAAUUUUAGGCAACCAAAUCUGAACAUUUGAUACCUCGAUAUACUAAGUGUGUUUUACUCUCUCGCCAGCAGAUGCAGAACCUACAAAUAUUAUAUAUAUUUUAGCUUGAAACUGCAAAAUCAGAGCUCCAAAAAAUUUCAUAUGGAAAUAUAUAAACCUUGGGCUAAUGCUGGUGCCUUUUUUGUCUCCCUGAUGGAUUUCACUACUUCAUACUCUUUUUUUUUCUUUAAGCACAGUUCUGAAUUCACUUUGCUCUUAAUGCAUUGUUUUUCUCUUACAUUUCCCAUGUCUAAAUAAGCCCAGAUGCCUCAGAAAUACUUCCCUGCACUACUAAGCUGUUUAUCUCAUGGAAGUGAUAUUUAUGAGGAAUGAGGAAGCAUGUCACAAAAGAACAGUCAAUGACUCCUAGCUAAACAACUUUGGGCAGGUGAAUGUAUGACUGCAAUUCCCACUACCACCACCACAUGGAAACACCAGUUAAACAUCCACAGUAUGGGAAAUUACCAUUCUUUAUUGAUCCUAUUUUUUUUUUCAAGAUACCCCUAAGUAUUUAAAAUGAAGAAUAUUUUCCAUUAGCUUAAAAAUAUAACUUUCAGUCUCUGACCUCAACCGGAAAAUUUGCAAGGUGUCUGAUUUAUACAUUGAAAUGGGACAUUAAUAAUCACAUGCUGUGUAUAUUUUCCUAAUAAAUAAUAAUAAGUUGUCAUACAUAGACUAAAGUCCUAUACUAGUCUGGAAAAAAAAGUGUCCAAAAUAGGCAUCGGAGAUAAAAUAUUUCUGACAUCAGCUCUAGAACAAAAGUACCAAAUAGAUUUAAUAGAAACUACAACAUGUUUCAAUAAAGUAAUGGCUAGUAAAUCAAUUCUGAAUAAGUGUGCAUUACAAUCUUAACUCAUUGAUUUUUGACUAAGUGAUACAACUAGAGAUGGACAAAAUUGCUUGGAUAUUGAACUAACCCAAAACAAUUCUGAGGCUCAGAAAUGCCCCAUUAUUAAUUAUUAUUAAUAUUAUUAUUAUUAUUAUUAUUCACUACCCACCCCCAUUAGUUUUCAUUUCUCUGCAUCUGAUUCUGGCAAAAAAUGAGGAAAAAAUGCCAAAAUACCUCAGAAAAAAGGCUGUUCUAAUUCAUAGAUGUUCUGUACCAGUUCUGCAGACCCAAGAAGUUCAGAGAAUUUUAAAUAAGCAUGUGAGUUGCUGGUUUCCUCUUUGAGCUGAGCUUCCAAACUGUUUGUGAUUAGAUGCUCACUAACUGUAGAGCAUAUAGAAGGAAAUCCUCCUAUUAAGAAAAUCUAUACGUGCACCUCCCCUUUGUGUCCUAGAAUUCAAUGCUUUAUUCUGUAGAAAGUGAACAAUCCCGAUGCCCUCAGCAUAGACAGUAAAAUUACUAUAUUGUGUACCUAAUUAUGAAAUGAGAUACCAUGGGAGAACCUGAGUUGGUGAUCAGCUUAUAUCCUAAAGCAAGAUAGUCCUUGUAACUUUAUCCCAAAUGCAGAUGCUAGUCUAAUUCAUAACAAUGUUGAAUAAUUUCAAUAAUAUACAAGGGCAUUGAUUUCCAAAGAAUAAUUAUACAUACUUCUCCUGAAAUGUUUUAAUUUUUAAAAUUUGUUUGGAGUACCUACUUACUCUUGCACUAUUGUUUGUAUAACUAGGAACAGCAGUGGUUUGAAUUCCAACCUAUAUAGCCAAAUAAAUUAUGUAUCAAACAGAUACAGUAUUUUGGAGAGGAGAGUGAGUUGAUAUCUGCUGUACUGAAUCAGAGAUUUCAAGGCCAGAAGGGAGCACUGUGAUCAUCUCAUCUGACCUUCUGUGUAACACAGGCCACAGAAUGUCCCCUGCAAAAUUCUUAGAGCAUAACUUUAAGAAAAAACAUCCAGUCUUGAUUUAAAAAAUGGCUAGUGAUAAAGAAUCCACCAAGAGCCCUUGGUAAAUUUUUCCAAUGGUUAAUUACCCUCAUUGUCAAAAUUUAGGUCAACCUUAUUUCCAGUCUGAAUUUGUUUAGCUUCAGCUUCAAGUCAUUUGAUCAUGUUAUGCUUUUCUCUGCUAGAUUGAAGAGCCCAUUUUUAAAUAUUUGUUCCCCAUUUUGAUACUUACAGAUUGUAAUCAAUUUACCCCUUAACCUUCUCUUUGUUUAGCUAAAUAGACUCAAGGAGCUCAGUUUAUCACAUAAGGCGUGGGGUUUUUUUUAAACCCUUUAAUCUUUCUUGUGGCUCUUCUCUGAACCCUCUCCAAUUUAUCAAAAUCCUUCUUGAAUUGAGGAUGCCAGAACUGGACCCAGUAUUCUAGCAGCAGUCACAGUAGUGCCAAAUACAGAGAGAGAAAAUAACCUCUCUACUCCUACUUGAGAUUCUCCUAUUUAUGCAUCCAAGAUUGAAUUAGCCCUUCUGGCCACAGCAUCACUCAGGGAGCUCGUGUCCUGCUGACUAUCCACCAUCACCCUCAAAUCUUUUUCAAAGUCACUGCUUCCAAAGAUACAGUUUCCCCAUCUUGUAAGUAUGACCUACAUUCUUUGCUCCUAGAUGUAUACAUUUAGCCAUAUUAUAACACAUAUUGUUGUUUGUGCCAGGUUUACCAGAUCGCUCUCAAUCAGUUACCAGUCCUCUUCAUUAUUUACCCACCCCCUCUCAAUUUUUGUCUUAUCUGCAAACUUUGUCAUUAAUGAUUUUGUUUGCUUUCAGGUUAGUGAUAAAAAUGUUAAAUAGUGUAAAGGCCAAGAACUGAUUCCUGUGAGACUCCACUGGAAACACACUCACUUGACAACAAUUCCCCAUUUACAAGUACAUUGAGACCUAUCAGUUACCCAGUUUUUAAUCAAUUUAAUUUGUGCCAGGUUACAUUUUAUAUUGUUUCUUUUAAUCAAAAUGUUGUGAGGUACUAAGUCAAAUGCCUCAGAGAAGUCUAAGUACAAUACGUGAACACUAUUACCUUUAUCAAACAAAUUUGUAAUCUCAGAAAAAAAUAUCAAGUUAUUUUGAUGGAAUCUAUUUUCCAUAAAUCCAUGUUGCUUUGCAUUAGUUACAUUACCCUCCUUUAAUUCUUUAUUAAUCAAGUCAUGUAUCAGCUGCUCCAUUAUCUUGCCCAGGAUCUAUGUCAGACCUAUAAUUAUCUGGGUCAUACCAUUUAUUAUUUUUAAAAAUUGGCAAAACAUUAGCUUUCUUCUAGUCUUCUGGAACUUUUCCAGUGCUCCAAGACUUAUUGAAAAAAAAAACAACAUUAAUGGUCCAGCAAUAUCCUCUCCCAGCUCUUUUAAAACUCUUGGAUGCAAGUUAUUUGGGCUUACUGAUUUUAAAAAGUUCUAACCUUUAGAGCUUCUAUAUUACUUUCUCCAGAGGUACUAGUCAAAUGGACAAAGAUAUCAGCACCAUAUGAUACUGUCAUGGGGUGUCCAUCCCACACAGGACUGAAAGGUGGCCAAGUAGGGUUGGCCAGGCUGAACCUGUAGGAGAAGCAAGGAAGGCUGGGACCUAAUUGUUGAUGGUGCCCAACUGAGGAGGAAAUUUAUAAGCCAAGAAGCUGGCAACAGAAGGGGGCUGCAGGAAGGCAAACUGCAGUUAUUCCCUGAGAGGAGGGAAUUGGGAGGAUGGUGGACCCAGAGAGGGAUGAAUCCAAGAAGGUAGGGAAAGGCUCAGGAGAAAGCAGCAUGAUAGGAUAGUGCACAUCUUGACUGCUGACUGGAGGGCCUUUGAGCUGGAACCUGGAGUAGAAGGCAGCCCCAGGUUCCCCUGUCAGCCAUUGGGGAAAUGGCACAGGCCUGGCAGAGGACAGUGGACUGACUGGGACAGUUGGUCCUGGAAAAAAAAAUUGUUACACUACCCCUGGAAGGGAAACAUGUAUGGUGACCCAGCCUGAGGGCUGAGCCAUAAAGAGAAGGCUGCAGUUCCUGGAGCAAGGGAGGUCUGCAGGAUGAGAGGAGGACCGGAAAGACACUGCUGGAGGAGGGUGCAACGCGUGGCUGGAGUUUAUCCCGGGCUGGCCAGGAGGAGGUGCUACUAGUGUUGAGUACACCCCAUCACAGAUACCAAAAACAGAACAGAAAUAUUUAACGAACAUUUACUUCUGCCUUAUUAUUAAUUCUACCACUUCCAUCUAGUAAUGGACCAAUACCAUUGUCAGGAUUCUUUUUGUUCCUAAUAUAUUAAAAAACACAAAUCUAAAAAAAAAACCAAAAAAACAAACCCACCUCUUUCUUAUUGUCCUUAACUCUGAUACAUGUGGCAUCUCUCUCAUAUAAUACUAGCCAGGGAAGAAGCACCAGCGUUGGACUCCUGAAUGAUAUCUGAGAUAUUACGAUAUCCUAAAGCAAGUUACAAGUCAGCCAUAACAGAGCAAGAAUAACAGUUAGAUGGCAUGCACUGGGUGACAAGAUACAGCCACAAAUAAAGAAUGUUGGGUUGUGUGUGUGUGUGUCUUUUGUCAAUUCACUGACGUUCAUGAUGUAAGCACCAGUAGACGAAGAACAAACUGGUGGCUGAGAAAAGAUUUUGGUUUUUUUUAUGUUAUACACAACAUUUACAAUAUAAACAGUUUACCACAUGCUCUUGCUAAUUGUAUGUAUUUGAAUGGGUCAUCUAAAUACUUUUAUAGUUGCCCUCUUACCCUUAAUAAGUGAUUUUCAUGUGAUGUCACCUUUUGCGUUUCAUCUUUAUCUUUUUAAAGUCAGCAAUGAAAGAAUAAAAAAAUGUGAAUUUCAAA